GUGUGUGUUGUUGUCGUCUAGGUGUGUUCGGAAGUGAUCGCACCGUGUGGUAGAUUCUAGAGUGUCUUUGAUUGUUGUGUGUUUUGACUUCUGCUAUGCCGAUUGGAAACUUAUUAAUGAUGCAGAACAGUUGAACUUCUUAGUGAAGACCUAAAGCACUGAGAAGAGAAAUAAAAAACCCAGACUUCUAUCAUUCUUUAGAUCUAGAUCUAGUUUUCUAUGACUUACAUAGCGUCUAGAGUCUAGAACUCUAUAGAUCUAGGCAUUCUAGGGUGAGAGUCAAGUGGUUACAUAACGUGGAGUUACAAAAAAAAUACUUGCCACCGUGUCAAGUGUCUAGAACCUACGGCUGUUGUUUUGCCAGUGUUAAAACAUGGGGCCGAUGAAUGGACAUUCCAAUGGCCUGAAGCUGGACAACUAGAGACAAUUUAUCCAUUUCGUUGACACAAACAAACAAAUGGUCAUUUGAGACCUUUGUCUUGAGAGUUUUAUUUAGUAGCUGGUUAUAGAGACUUUCAAACUAAGGAAAUUAGUGAUUACACUGAAGACUGUCUUGGAAGUUUAUAUUUUGUAACUGGUUAUAGAGACUUUCAAACCAAGAAGACCAGUGAUUACACUGAAGACUUGACAUUCAAAUUACUUCGAACUUUGAUAAGGACUAUUAACAGAUGCUGAAGGAUUUAUUUCUGGAACGAAUUGAACAUAAGGGAGGUAAGUUCAAGAUUUUGAUCAUUGCUGCAAUAGCUGAAUGAACAAUGUGUCGCAUCCAUGGUCGCAUCUGAAUUGAUGUGUAGAAAAUUGUUAUAUCAUUAUGUGGCAAAGUUUCGUAUCUGUAUCAAUGUGUAGUGAAUUGUCGUAUCUAUGUAUAGCAAAGUUUCGUAUCUAUAUCAGUAUGAAGCAACGUUUCGUAUCUGUAUCAAUGUGUAGUGAAUUGUUGUAUCUAUGUGUAGCAAAGUUUCGUAUCUUUAUCAGUAUGAAACAAAGUUUAAUAUCUGUAGCAUUGUGAAACUGUCUUGUCCCUAUGAUUGGGGUUUCCUUAAAGUGACAACUGCAUUAUAAAACCAGACAUCCUGCGUAUAAUUUUAUUAUCCCCCUUUACUUGUUUCAGAACUAAUGAUUUAUAAUGGCCACGAUAAGAAUGUUAUUCUUCGGCGUUUCUCAAUCUUUUGUUUUGAAACUCCUCUCAGACUCUGUUGACAGAGCUUUUCGUUUAGUACCGCUUUCCUUUCACUGUGAACCUACUAGCUUGAACAUUUCUCUCACAAGCCUUGACUAAACAUUUCAUUUACUAAUAGAACUUCAUUUUCUAAUUUUUAAUAAUUAUUCAGAAACACUAAAACUUGUUUUUACUGCUUUAGGAAAAAUAUUAAAAUGACUUGAACGUCCUUCGACUCACACAAACACAUACUACAUAUUGCCUCUCCUCUGGGGCUGUAAUACCCAUGGUGAGAACUGUCUUUAAUAGAAAGUUGCCAGGUUAUAUGUUGGUUAGGAAAAGGGGGUGUGGGUAUUUCAUUGACAGGGACCACGGUUUUCUGUUCUAGGUUAAUGUUUAUCAUCCUAUUAACAAAAAGCUUUCCUAUAGAUCGCCAAGUCUGAAAUGGUUACUUACGUUUUGAAACAUAUCUUUUCAUGCUUACGAUAGUACGUUCGUAUAGACACUAAAGCCAGUGUUUUAUUUCAUUUGGUUAUAAACUGAAUGUAAUAAAAAUAUGUCUCGGGCGAAAAACUUUGGUACUAUUUUAUUUGUGUGUGCGUACUACAGAACUCCGGUGCACAUGUCCUUAAAGGUGUUUUCCUAUCCCAGUGUUAUUAGUUUAAGAUAGUCACAAUGCAAUAGUCACUUAGUCCCUAUAAUAUCCAGGUGGAUGGGUUUAAGAUAGUCACAAUGUAAUAGUCACUUAGUCCCUAUAAUAUCCAGGUGGAUGGGUUUAAGAUAGUCACAAUGUAAUAGUCACUUAGUCCCUAUAAUAUCCAGGUGGAUGGGUUGUUUCAUCAGCGCAUAUCCUGUUUCUCCCGCUGUUUAUACACUGUGGUCUUACAUGGCUGACAUUCCUGAUUCACCAGGGAAUAUGGGUCUUAAGAAAAAACUACAUUGCUCCUCCUAUACAAAAUUUGAUAAAUCUUUUAGAACAUCU
rnacentral:sRNA from 1 species